UUUAUUCACCAUCUUUUCUCACUCAUGCUGUGUGCCAUUCCCUCUCUCUCCCGUCUUACACUUCCUCAAAGUGGCCAGAGAUCCUCUUCUAUCCUCUCCACAUCCUGUCCUGUACAGAUUUGUAUCCAUUUUGCCUAAUUCUCAGGCCACUUUUCUUUUAUCCCGUACUUUUUCUUUAACAUUUUUUAUUUUCUUUUCUUUUUUAUUUCUUCACUUUUUUUUUUUUUAUUUGGAGGUUGGUUCCUUAUCCUCUCUCAUUCCGGUGUACAACCCUGAACUGUGCAAGAUCUCUCUGAUUUGAGUCUCCCAGCGGUUUUUUCAGGAGAAAAAGUGCUUAGAAGAAUUUCACACCACAAUGAAAGUUCAGCUGCUGCUCCUCUUGGCCCUGGCCGGCCCUCUCUGCUCCUUCACACGUGCAAGUCCUACGACAGUCACCUCAUACUCCUCUUUGGUAACAAAAGAAGCAGAAGAAACAAUCAUCACCGGUCCUUCUCCCACCCGACCCACAAGUUGCCCCUCAAGAUGUAGUGCUCAGUACUACUGAACCGGUAGCUGCAACUGAGGCUGGCACCGAUGUCCCUACUACAGAAUCAAAUCAGAUCCUUGAUACAACUACUGUGGAAGUAACCGAAGCUCCCACCGUGCACACUUCAGCCUCCGCUGAGACGGCUUCACCUCCUCCCGAGACCACUGCAGCUCCCGCUUUCGAAACCAGUGGCCCUGAAGAGACCAGUAGCCCCUUCAUUGACGAGACCGUAGCACCGAUUGAUCCCAUCACGAGUGCGGACGCAACUCCGGGGACCGACAAUGGCACAGCAGGUGUAACGGUGGAAAAUGAAGAGGGCCUGAGCACCGGACAAAUAGUGGGAAUUGUGAUUGGUGCCAUCGUGGCCGUGGUAAUUGUCAUCGCUGUGGUGAUAGCAGUGUUGAGGAGGAUGGGCAAAUACUCCCCUUGAAGAAAAAGUCAACCAAGCAGCAGGAGCGUGGAAAGUUCUGGAAAUCCUAAACUACUGAACUGUGACUUUUGAGUUUGAUAAUUAAAACGAGCACAAUGCUAGAACUAAACUAAUCUAACCUGGACUUGAAAUGAUGCCAAACCAAGGGGUGCAGUGAGGGUCGAGUGUUUUGUUGUGUGUAUAUACAGUGUGUACUGUAACGUGUGUGAGACAAGAGGGGGUGCACAAGUCAACAUCUUCGUUUUCCCCUGCUUACCUCCCCAAAAAAGCUCUCUCUUCCCUCGUGUUCCUGAAGUGAACGAAAAAAACAAGGGGACAGCAAAUUCUUUUGUUGUGCUUUUUGAAUGCAUUUUGUUGAUUGAGUAAACAAACAAUUAUCUGACGUCAUGAAGAAGGCAUUGCUCUCCAUUAAAGGGACGUAGGUAAGCAAAAUUACUGUUGAACUUUGAGAAAUCAACUUAAUGGAGAAAUGUAUCAAAUACAAAAGGGGGAUGAGAGGGUAGGAAAUGGAAAAUACUUUUACAAAUCCAUAGGAUGUAUGUAUAUAUAUUGAAUUCAUUGGCGCUACAUAGGAUAGAGCGAGCAACUUUCUCAUUUUCUUGCAGUUGCAUAGGCUAGAAUUUGACAAUAUUCAGUAUACAGAAUGAACAGGCAAUCAUAGGAUGGUGUUGUACAGUGCCUCAAAAAGCAUUAUGCCCCAUUAUAGUUUUUUUUUAUUUUGCUUUUUUUUUUGCACUUAAAUGUUGCAAUAAAUGGCAGUUAGUUGCUGCUAGAAAAAAAAAUGUUGCAGAAUUGUUUUAGUUUAGCCCUGUUGGAGGGUUGCUUUAGCGUAACUGUUUAAGGUCAUUCCACUGCACACCAAUUUUGCUAAAAUCUGGACUUUGACAAUGCCACUCCAAAGCCUUUUUAUCUUAUUAGGCAUUGAAAGGUAGACUUGCUCAAAUGCUUGCAUAAACCAGGCUGCUUAAGUUCAGUCACGGCCAGUCAUCAGUCAUUUUGGGGAAUUUCAAACGACCUCUUCACCUCUUUUUUGCUGAGCAGUGGUUUUUACUAUUAAUGACACUUUUGCCCGCUUUCUUUACUAUUGCUGAAUUAUGAACUCUGACUUUAACUGAGGCAAGUGAGGUCUGCAGUGCUUUAGAUGUUAUUCUGUGUUCUUUUGUGCCAUCCUGGAUGGAGUCAUUGAUGCCCUCUUGGAGUAAUUUUAGUAAUUUUUAGCCACUCCUGGAGAGGUUCACCACUGUGCCAUGUUUCUCGUUUUUUAGUCUCCUAUAUGUUGCCAGGCAGGUUUUAUUUAAACAAUUUAUUGAUUCUAUAUUCCUGGUUGUAUUUAGGCCUGGAUGUGACUUGGAAAAUUAAACUCAGUUUUCAAAAACCACAGUUAAGUCGUGAUUUACCAGGGUGGGUGACCAGGUUUUUGUUUAGCACUGGGUUGGUUUGGAUAGUUUAUUUCCCCUCAAUAAAUACAAAAAAUAAUCAUAAGGGGACUGAUUUUUGUAAUCACUCACUUUAUGUCAGUCUGCUUUAUUUUUUUUUUUGAAAACAUCAAACAUUUGAAUGUAACAAAAAAGCAAGAACAGAAGGAACCUGUAAUGGGGCAAAUACUUUUUCACUGUAGUGAAGUCAUUCUAGAACACCAGUUAGAACAGUUUCCCAGGCGGCCAAAAUACCUGACACCUCGGCCAAUUGCAUGAAGCACAGCGUGCAGACCUUGUCCCGACCAUGGGCGUCCUCUUUGAGGAUGAGCGCAGAAGAAACAGCAGCCCUCGUUUGCAGGAGCACCAGGACAUUCUGCCCACUUUAACACUGACACAUUAAAACCUAAUACAUAUCUGUGAAAUUUAGCAGAAGGGUUUGUGCCACUGUUUCUGGUAUUCUCUCGCUAGCGCAGAGGAUUUCAAAGUUUUGAAGUGUGCUACGAGUGUGUCUUGAAUGGACUUCUUCAGCUGGCCCCUGCUCUACUUCGGGUCUCUGUGCUGCCAUAGGUUGCUAGAUGUGAUAUAAGUAUUAGCUUAACAGUGUAUUUUUCUGUUAAUGUUACCAGAACAGCCGUCCAGUUGUUAACUGCAUAUUGCACACAGGAUAACAUUUCAUAGCUGCACUUAGUUUUAGUGCUCAGUGUUAAGCAGGCAUUUUUUUUUUUACAUUGUGUUCCAACUGUAACUGUGCUAACUGGAUGUAUAAAUACUCUUAUCUUACCCUGCCUGCUUUUAAAACUUGUUUAAUAUGUGCACUGAACGAGAGGAUUAAUGUUUAAUGAUUUAGACUUUAGACACUGCAAAUGUUUGCAAUGAUCCAUUUCUUUUGCUUUGCCAUGAUGUCGUCCAUUUGUGCCAUGUGUUUCAUGCAAACCUCUUAUUUAAUUGCAGUGUUUUUGUUCAUACAGUUUCAAUAAAACAAGAAACAUUUCACAAGC